rnacentral:rRNA from 1 species
AGCAGCCGCGGUAAUUCCAGCCCCAAUAGCGUAUAUUAAAGUUGUUGCAGUUAAAAAAGCUCGUAGUCGAACCUUAGGCCCGUGCGGGUGGUCCGUCCUCUGGGCGAGCACUGCGUCGUUGCGGGUCUCACCUUCUGGCGAGCGUGGAUGCCAUUCACUUGGUGUCCGCGGGAACCAGGACCUUUACCUUGAAAAAAUUAGAGUGCUCAAAGCGGGCUCGUACGCUUGAAUACAUUAGCAUGGAAUAAUGAAAUAGGACGACGGUUCUAUUUUGUUGGUUUCCGGGACGGUCGUAAUGAUUAAUAGGGAUAGUUGGGGCAUUCGUAUUCAAUUGUCAGAGGUGAAAUUCUUGGAUUUAUUGAAGACUAACUACUGCGAAAGCAUUUGCCAAGGAUGUUUUCAUUAAUCUAAGAACGAAAGUUAGGGAUCGAAGACGAUCAGAUACCGUCGUAGUCUUAACCAUAAACUAUGCCGACUAGGGAUCGGAUGAUGUUGUAUUUUUAAUGACUCAUACGGCGCCUUAACCGGG